AACCCCCGACAGGCGGAUAGGCCGGUAGGAAACGCCGGAUAAUACGCCAGUCGGUUCCCGGGAGGGCAUCCUCCUGAGGAAUAAGCUACGGCGGUCGGGGACGGGCAUGCGUCCCAUUAGAUGGUAGGCGGGGUGACGGCCCACCUAGUCCACGAUGGGUAGGGGAUCUGAGAGGACGGUCCCCCACGCUGGUACUGAGACACGGACCAGACUCCUGCGGGAGGCAGCAGUAAGGGAUAUUGGUCAAUGGGGGCAACCCUGAACCAGCCAAUGCCGCGUGAGGGAAUGAGGCCCUACGGGUCGUGAACCUCUUUUAUUCGGGGACAAGGACGCGGUCGCGAACCGUGUUUGAGGGUACCGAAGGAAUAAGCAUCGGCUAACUCCGUGCCAGCCGCCGC
rnacentral:rRNA from 1 species